rnacentral:rRNA from 1 species
GAUGAACGCUAGCGGCGUGCCUAAUACAUGCAAGUCGAGCGAAUGGAUUAAGAGCUUGCUCUUAUGAAGUUAGCGGCGGACGGGUGAGUAACACGUGGGUAACCUGCCCAUAAGACUGGGAUAACUCCGGGAAACCGGGGCGAAUACCGGAUAACAUUUUGAACCGCAUGGUUCGAAAUUGAAUGGCGGCUUCGGCCGUCACUUAUGGAUGGACACGCGUCGCAUUAGCUAGUUGGUGAGGUAACGGCUCACCAAGGCAACGAUGCGUAGCCGACCUGAGAGGGUGAUCGGCCACACUGGGACUGAGACACGGCCCAGACUCCUACGGGAGGCAGCAGUAGGGAAUCUUCCGCAAUGGACGAAAGUCUGACGGAGCAACGCCGCGUGAGUGAUGAAGGCUUUCGGGUCGUAAAACUCUGUUGUUAGGGAAGAACAAGUGCUAGUUGAAUAAGCUGGCACCUUGACGGUACCUAACCAGAAAGCCACGGCUAACUACGUGCCAGCAGCCGCAGUAA